GGGCUUGCUAUUCUUCUUGUAUUAACAAAGCUGUCCAGGUAUUUCUUCCCAUUAGUAAUUUUCAUAAAAUACAUAUUAAACUCUGUAAUUUAAUAUGAUUUAAAACUUUUAAUAAACAUGUCUAGAGUUUAAGAUUUAAGACUUUAAAAAGAGUUCACACAGGACUGGUUUCUCUGUGAUUAAGUAGUGGGCAGUCAUAAGAUUUUUAUUUUAUGACAUGUUUAGGAGAAAGUACUGAAUGAAGCU
rnacentral:lncRNA from 1 species